rnacentral:tRNA from 1 species
CCCCGAAUAGCUUAAUUGGUAAAAGCAGCCGGCUCAUAACCGGAAGACAGCGAGUUCAAAUCUCGUAGCGGGGA